rnacentral:rRNA from 1 species
GACGAACUCUGGCGGCGUGCUUAACACAUGCAAGUCGAACGGUAAGGCUCCAGCUUGCUGGGGUACACGAGUGGCGAACGGGUGAGUAACACGUGAGUGACCUGCCCUGCACUUCGGGAUAAGCCUGGGAAACUGGGUCUAAUACCGGAUAGGACCGCACCGUGAGGGUGUGGUGGAAAGUUUUUUCGGUGUGGGAUGGGCCCGCGGCCUAUCAGCUUGUUGGUGGGGUAAUGGCCUACCAAGGCGGCGACGGGUAGCCGGCCUGAGAGGGUGGACGGCCACAUUGGGACUGAGACACGGCCCAGACUCCUACGGGAGGCAGCAGUGGGGAGUAUUGCACAAUGGGCGGAAGCCUGAUGCAGCGACGCCGCGUGGGGGAUGACGGCCUUCGGGUUGUAAACUCCUUUCACCAUCGACGAAGGGUUUCUGACGGUAGAUGGAGAAGAAGCACCGGCUAACUACGUGCCAGCAGCCGCGGUAAUACGUAGGGUGCGAGCGUUGUCCGGAAUUACUGGGCGUAAAGAGCUCGUAGGUGGUUUGUCGCGUCGUCUGUGAAAUUCCGGGGCUUAACUCCGGGCGUGCAGGCGAUACGGGCAUAACUUGAGUACUGUAGGGGAGACUGGAAUUCCUGGUGUAGCGGUGAAAUGCGCAGAUAUCAGGAGGAACACCGGUGGCGAAGGCGGGUCUCUGGGCAGUAACUGACGCUGAGGAGCGAAAGCAUGGGGAGCGAACAGGAUUAGAUACCCUGGUAGUCCAUGCCGUAAACGGUGGGCGCUAGGUGUGGGUUUCCUUCCACGGGAUCCGUGCCGUAGCUAACGCAUUAAGCGCCCCGCCUGGGGAGUACGGCCGCAAGGCUAAAACUCAAAGGAAUUGACGGGGGCCCGCACAAGCGGCGGAGCAUGUGGAUUAAUUCGAUGCAACGCGAAGAACCUUACCUGGGCUUGACAUAUACAGGAUCGCGCCAGAGAUGGUGUUUCCCUUGUGGCUUGUAUACAGGUGGUGCAUGGUUGUCGUCAGCUCGUGUCGUGAGAUGUUGGGUUAAGUCCCGCAACGAGCGCAACCCUUGUCUUAUGUUGCCAGCACGUUGUGGUGGGGACUCGUAAGAAACUGCCGGGGUUAACUCGGAGGAAGGUGGGGAUGACGUCAAAUCAUCAUGCCCCUUAUGUCCAGGGCUUCACACAUGCUACAAUGGUCGGUACAGUGGGUUGCCAGUCCGUGAGGGCGAGCUAAUCCCGCAAAGCCGGUCUCAGUUCGGAUCGGGGUCUGCAACUCGACCCCGUGAAGUCGGAGUCGCUAGUAAUCGCAGAUCAGCAACGCUGCGGUGAAUACGUUCCCGGGCCU